rnacentral:sRNA from 1 species
ACACGAGAGAGGAGGUGGUCUGAAGUUGAUGAACUCUAGGACGCGUGAGGUGGCUGUCAGCUAGCCGCAAUCGCUGACGGAUUCACUGCGAAGACCGCGCGAGCGGCAAGCGAAUCCCAGACAGCUACCCGGCCCCCGAGCCCCCGACCUGUCCGGUCGGGACCUGACAUCAGGUAUGGCUCGGGGGCCGUUCGCG